GUUAAUGUAGNUUAAAAAUAAAGCAAGNCACUGAAAAUGCCUAGAUGGGUAUACCAACCCCAUAAACA
rnacentral:tRNA from 1 species